GACGUAGGGCGCGAGCGUUGUCCGGAUUUAUUGGGCGUAAAGAGCUCGUAGGCGGCUUGUCGCGUCGAAUGUGAAAUCCUGCGGCUCAACUGCAGGCUUGCAUUCGAUACGGGCAGGCUCGAGUUCGGUAGGGGAGACUGGAAUUCCUGGUGUAGCGGUGAAAUGCGCAGAUAUCAGGAGGAACACCGGUGGCGAAGGCGGAUCUCUGGGCCAUUACUGACGCUGAGGAGCGAAAGCGUGGGGAGCGAACAGG
rnacentral:rRNA from 1 species